rnacentral:lncRNA from 1 species
AAUGUUCAUAGAGAAUACUCUAGAAACCCUAAAAUCCAAAGUUUCAUAAUCUCUCUCUCCUCUGAAAGUGCUAGUGCUUUACCUUUCCUCUUUGAACAAAAAUUCCAGACUUCUCUCCCCUAAAUCAGAUAUGUGUGCCUCCAUUUUUGUAUAACCUUCAAACGCUCCUCUCUUUUUCAACUCCAUGAAUUCAGUCAAACAUGGUCCGUGAUGAAAAGAGCCAAAUCUCCUUUUCAGAAUAUCUAAUUUUCAGUACAUUUUGCAGAUUUGGUUUCUAUUUCAAACUAUUAUUUCAACCGUUUAACCUACCAUUCCCGCUCAAAGAAACCCUAGGUUUCGUCCUAUAAAUACUCAAUUUGGAUAGCUUCAAAGACAGAGGUUGGUUGCCCCCUUCGAUCUCCCUUCACCCUCAGUGGCUAACUAUUCAAAGCUUAUCUUCUUCCUUGCUCUCUUAAAAUCUAGCUUUAAGUUUUCUUUUCUUUUUGACCUCUGUUUAGUCCAUAGCCUAGCCAAAGCUUUAACUUUUUUUUGUGUUCGCAUUUGAAGAUCUUUCGAAAGAGCUGAGCCAAAGCCAGAGAUCCUCUUGACGAUGCCUCGUUCACCAACCAUAAAAAGGUCAGUAACUUCAAAAUCUUUCUUCUCGGCUUUCCUAUAUUUGAAGAUCUGAAAUGUUUGUUUGUUUGUUUGUUUUAAAAAUCUCGUCUCAGUUUAUUUCCAUUGUGAAUUUGUUCAUGUAUGAAAUCAUGCAAGACUAGUUUUUUUUAAUCUCGUCUCCAGUUUAUUUCCAUUGUAAAUUUGUUCAUCUACGAAAUCAUGCAAGACUAUUUCUUUUUUAAAAUUAUGUCUUAAUUAAGUAAAAUAAAGAGUCGAUGGUCAUAUGAAUAUAUUAGUGCAUUAGUUGCUCUCUUCAUGGUUGUCUUCUAGUAAGUAUGCGCUAUUUACUUAAAUAAUUUAUCCUAUAUGAUCUGGAUAGUGUUUGCUUCGGUAGAGUAUUUCUUAUUUGAAAUAGGUGUUUAUAUUACCAUUUGGAAAUUUAUGGAUAUUAUAUUAAUCUUACUGUUUAAAUUUGUUAAUUAGAAGCGAUGCCCAAAGGAUUUAGAAUUUCUCACAGUAAUAUAGACUAGCUAACGGAAACAUAUGUUAUUGUGAAAUAUUUGGUAUAUGAUUCUACAUCCUUUUAUA